GCUGAAAUAGUUUAAAAGGUUAAAACAUACCACUCAUGACGGUAAAACAAAGGUUCAAUUCCUUUUUUCAGCU
rnacentral:tRNA from 1 species